rnacentral:rRNA from 1 species
UGGGGAAUAUUGGACAAUGGGCGAAAGCCUGACCCAGCAACGCCGCGUGUGGGAUGAAGGCCCUCGGGUCGUAAACCACUGUCAGGAGGAAAGAAAAGUCGGCCGGAUAAUACUCGGUCGACCUGACGGUACCUCCAAAGGAAGCACCGGCUAACUCCGUGCCAGCAGCCGCGGUAAUACGGAGGGUGCAAGCGUUGUUCGGAAUUACUGGGCGUAAAGCGCGUGUAGGUGGUCGAGUAAGUCGAAUGUGAAAGCCCCGGGCUCAACCCGGGAAGUGCAUCCGAAACUGCUCGACUAGAGUCCCGGAGAGGAAGGCAGAAUUCCCAAUGUAGGGGUGAAAUCCGUAGAUAUUGGGAGGAAUACCGGUGGCGAAGGCGGCCUUCUGGACGGUGACUGACACUCAGACGCGAAAGCGUGGGGAGCAAACAGGAUUAGAUACCCAAGUAGUCCCUGAGCGGGCUGGCAAGGCGCAU